CCUACGGGAGGCAGCAGUGGGGAAUUUUGGACAAUGGGGGCAACCCUGAUCCAGCCAUGCCGCGUGAGUGAAGAAGGCCUUCGGGUUGUAAAGCUCUUUCGGCCGGAACGAAAUCGCGCACGUGAAUAACGUGCGUGGAUGACGGUACCGGAGUAAGAAGCACCGGCUAACUACGUGCCAGCAGCCGCGGUAAUACGUAGGGUGCGAGCGUUAAUCGGAAUUACUGGGCGUAAAGCGUGCGCAGGCGGUUCGCUAAGUCAGACGUGAAAGCCCCGGGCUUAACCUGGGAACGGCGUUUGAAACUGGCGGGCUCGAGUACGGCAGAGGGGGGUGGAAUUCCACGUGUAGCAGUGAAAUGCGUAGAUAUGUGGAGGAACACCGAUGGCGAAGGCAGCCCCCUGGGCCGAUACUGACGCUCAUGCACGAAAGCGUGGGGAGCAAACAGGAUUAGAUACCCUGGUAGUCCACGCCCUAAACUAUGUCAACUAGUUGUCGGGGAAGCAAUUCCUUGGUAACGCAGCUAACGCGUGAAGUUGACCGCCUGGGGAUACGGUCGCAAGNUUAAAACUCAAAUGAAUUGACGGCUGAGAGUGCGACGACGACGACGAGGGAGAGG
rnacentral:rRNA from 1 species